AGCGAACGCUGGCGGCAGGCUUAACACAUGCAAGUCGAGCGGGCGUAGCAAUACGUCAGCGGCAGACGGGUGAGUAACGCGUGGGAACGUACCUUUUGGUUCGGAACAACACAGGGAAACUUGUGCUAAUACCGGAUAAGCCCUUACGGGGAAAGAUUUAUCGCCGAAAGAUCGGCCCGCGUCUGAUUAGCUAGUUGGUGAGGUAACGGCUCACCAAGGCGACGAUCAGUAGCUGGUCUGAGAGGAUGAUCAGCCACAUUGGGACUGAGACACGGCCCAAACUCCUACGGGAGGCAGCAGUGGGGAAUAUUGGACAAUGGGGGCAACCCUGAUCCAGCCAUGCCGCGUGAGUGAUGAAGGCCCUAGGGUUGUAAAGCUCUUUUGUGCGGGAAGAUAAUGACGGUACCGCAAGAAUAAGCCCCGGCUAACUUCGU
rnacentral:rRNA from 1 species